GACGAACGCUGGCGGCGUGCUUAACACAUGCAAGUCGAACGAAGAGCGAUGGAAGCUUGCUUCUAUCAAUCUUAGUGGCGAACGGGUGAGUAACGCGUAAUCAACCUGCCCUUCAGAGGGGGACAACAGUUGGAAACGACUGCUAAUACCGCAUACGAUCUAACCUCGGCAUCGAGGAAAGAUGAAAGGUGGCCUCUAUGUAUAAGCUAUCACUGAAGGAGGGGAUUGCGUCUGAUUAGCUAGUUGGAGGGGUAACGGCCCACCAAGGCGAUGAUCAGUAGCCGGUCUGAGAGGAUGAACGGCCACAUUGGGACUGAGACACGGCCCAGACUCCUACGGGAGGCAGCAGUGGGGAAUUUUCGCA
rnacentral:rRNA from 1 species